rnacentral:tRNA from 1 species
UGGGGUGUCGCCAAGUGGUAAGGCAGCGGCUUUUGAUGCCGCCAUUCCCAGGUUCGAAUCCUGGCACCCCAGCCA